rnacentral:tRNA from 1 species
GCGCCCGUAGCUCAGCUGGACAGAGCGUCGGUCUUCGGAACCGAAAGUCGGGGGUUCGAAUCCUCCCGGGCGUA